ensembl:antisense Gm16237 predicted gene 16237
GGAGUUCACAUGGACAAAACGGUUACACAACUGCCCCAUCUUGUGAACACAUUGCCCAUCCCAGAGAAUGGGGGAGCCAGAGCAAUUACCCGGUUGGUGGAAACUGAUCAUGGACAUUUGAUUAUAGUUAUUAAUGGGGAGAAUGGGAGACAGACCGCUGAGCGGCAGGCUAGCGCUAAGUGAAUGUGUAUGAGAUUCCUGGAGGGGGAUUAAUUUCUGUUUGCUUUUCAUCUCUCAGCUACCAUCUGAAUGUGACACCGAGUCUAAGCGUGACUUGUCACAGCCUUAUCAGUAUUCAGUGCCUUGCAUGCUGGUCACAUUAUCUCCGCUGGAUGUACCAAACGAGGGGUCUCUUGCUGUGGGGGUUCAUUUUCCUCUGAUUCUAAUGCGGAACUGGGGUUAGCUAGUGAUUGGCUUUUCAGGGGAGAAUCGUACCUUGGCGUGUCAGAAAGACACUCUUCAAGCAAAUAUUUGCCUCUCUGUGUGUUUCCCAUUGGCACUGAGCACACAGUUCCUAAUCUGGAGGGCGCACAGGCUCUCCUCAAGCUUUCGGCCCCAUCAGAGGACGCUGGGCUUUUUCUGUAUCUCAGCUAUGAGAUCUCAAGCUCUUCAGGUGGAGGUCAGAGGACAACUUGAAGAAAUCAGCUCUCUCCUCGUACCAAGUGGGUCCCAGUGGGCAAACUCAGAUCACCAGGCUCCGUGGAAGAACUUCUACUGAACAAGCCAUCUCACUGGUCUGGGGACUUUUUUUCUUUAGCAUAGCUCAGUGGGGUGAACUGCUUGCUGCACAGGUGUCCAGCACCCACAUGAAAAGCCAAGUGUGGGGAUCCACGCCAGUGCUCUCGCACACAGAGCAUCGCCGAGUUUGGGAUGAAUGAGGCUAAGGAGUUCUUUGCAGCUUGAGGAGGGAUCCAGCCCUCCACGCUGGUGUGACAGUAAGCUGUAAUGGUGCAGAGCCUGGUGUGUUUGAACCUGGGACUCAUUCCUCAUCACAGGCAUUCCCAUAGCAGCCUCGGGACACAGGCAGGCGGCAGGGACAGGAAGGAGGGACAGGCGGAGGGGGAAGUGGGAGCAGACUGACUCUGAACCCCAUGGGUCAUGCUAUGUCAACCGUCUACUUCCUGUGGCUGUGGAUCAGACUCACCAGUGAGAACUGGGGAGAGCAGUCACUGACAGUCUUGGAAAGGCCUGCCUUCUAGAGAGAAGGUCUGAGAACCUCCCCGCCCCCAGCAGCAGAGACUUUAGAACCCAUCUGUCUGGAGGUCACAGGGUCCUGGCACGUUGUCAAAUUAAACUAUCAUGCAAUCUCAACACGCCCUGG